GAACUGAUCUGAGGACUGAAUGCAGAACUGAUCAGAGGACUAAACAGAGGACAGUUGAUGACAUUCAAAGAAUUGUGUCCCGAUUGCAGUUUUUUCUGCAGGAUUUGAGUUUUAAGGUAUUUCGUCCCAUGUACACAUAUACUAGGUUUACUACACACCUCACGUUGUAGCCUGUCUGUUGGUGAGCAUUUCUCCACAUGCCAUCUGUCUGGCGUAGUUAAUGUAUAGACAAUGUUAGGUGUCAGAAGUGUGUUGGAGUAUCUGCUCUGACAGCAGGCAGAGAUAACCAACUUAUCAGCUGCCGACUUACCUCAGUCAAAGUUCAAGACAAAUUGAGUUACUGCAUACAUCUGAGGCUACUUCAAGCCUCUCCAUCGCUUGUACAACAGGGAGACCUACUUCGGGAAGUACCACGAAACCAUUGGUACUGACAGAACUGUGGCAAACUUUAUAACAUGUGAUCCUUGUUUGUUGUGUGCCCUCUGACCAGUUGACUUCAUGUGAUUGAUUCACAUAUGGACCUAAGGACAUCAUGGACAAUGCAGAUGUCCUUGAUGUGUCAGGAAGUUCUUCAGAUGACUUCAUUCAAUUGUGAUAUGAUGAUGGAAUUUAGUUUGUGAUGCUCUGUGGAGGGAUUGCGAUUUCAUCUAGGCAAAUAUCUGUGUGGUAAUUGUAUAUGUAAAAAUCAUUUGCCUGUUGGAUUGUAGUUUUAUAUAUUGACAAUUGUCUCAAGGCCAAGGAAGCUUGAAUGUGUGAACGAUAUUCCAGCAAAUACUGAUCUUGGAAAAUCUAUCACAGUGGUUAGUUGUUUACCUGGCAGACCUGCUCACAGUGUGGUUCGUGGAUUGUCUCUGAUUUUAGAGAGACUUGUGAUGAAUCUUCGCAGCCCCCCAGGUGUGAUGGGAGUCAAGUUUAAGCUAGGACACAGGAUCUGGAUUUCUCAGGACGUCCCGGAGGACAGAGUCCUGGACCUAAGUGCCUUUGCGAUGCCUCUCCUAGACUCCGAUGUGGCAGAUGGGAGUAUGAUGGAUGUAGACCAAGACUUCCGUCCCCGAGCGGGAUCCACAGGUCUCAAAAGCCUGCUCAGCGGGAAAACUAGGCAACGAAACAAAUCGGGGGAAGACAGCAAAAGUGGUUCUCCCACAACAUCUUCAAAAGUGAAAAACUUUUUUGAUAAUUUUCGUCCACGUUCCAAAUCGGAUGUGUCUGGUAUGAAAAAGCCUGGGAAAAAGCAUGCAGUAGCAAUGGAACGUUCAAUGGACGAGUCGCAGCUUCAUGUACACGGAGUUACCCCGACAAUGUUAGCCCCACGGGGCCCUGCAGACCCUAUAUCCCCCCAUGGGGCAGAUCUUGGAGGGACAAAUGCUGGAUGCUAAAGGGGACAGAGCCAGGCAUAAGUCAGGGCCUUCUACCCCUGUUGAACAGUUUAUGAAUAAAUUUCGGACAAGGUCAAAUUCAGAUUCAAGGCCAAGGUCACCAAGGAAAAAGCUAGAGACUCAGAAAAGUUUCAGUCCUCCAAGCAGUCCAUCAUCACUAAGAGACGGGAAGUUAUCGCCCCUCCGGUUCCAGUCCAGCAACGAGCCUAAGUCCGCACCACCCACCAUGGCACGAUCCUUCCAGAAUGACCACUCGCAUGCAAUUAUAUACAAGUCCGACCUCAUGAAGUUAUCAAUGGACUCUGAUGUCGACAAAAUGGAAAUAGAAGAUUUAGAUGAAAACGAGGAACAAGUUUUUGCCAAAUUUAUGCGUGCCCACAAGUGCUAUGAUCUCAUUCCUACGAGUGCAAAGCUGGUCAUAUUUGAUACACAGUUAAACGUUAAGAAAGCAUUUUUUGCGUUGGUGUACAAUGGUGUUCGAGCGGCGCCACUGUGGGACAGUGCGAAACAAGACUAUGUUGGGAUGCUGACAAUUACUGACUUCAUCAAUAUUCUGAAGAUGUACUACAAGUCUCCACUGGUGCGGAUGGAUGAGUUAGAAGAUCACAAGAUUGAGACCUGGAGAGAAGUGCUACGAGACAAGCAGAAGCCAUUUGUGUGCAUCGACCCCGACGCUAGCUUGUACACCGCCGUCAAGACGCUGAUAGAGAACCAUGUUCACCGUCUACCUGUGGUGGACAAGAACACUGGCAAUGCUAUCUACAUCCUCACGCACAAGAGAAUACUGCGCUUCCUACAUCUAUAUAUUCAGGAUCUACCCAAACCCUGCUACAUGUUGAAGAGCAUACGGGAUCUGGGUAUAGGAACAUACGACAACGUCAUUACGACAUCCCAGGACACACCGCUGAUCAAGGCUCUCAACAUGUUCAUGGAUCACCGGAUAUCAGCCUUGCCGGUCGUCGAUGAACAACACAAGGUCGUCGACAUAUAUGCCAAGUUUGAUGUCAUCAACCUGGCAGCGGAGAAGACAUAUAACAACCUUGAUGUGACCAUAGCCCAGGCUCUGCAACAUAGAUGUGAUGGGUUUGAAGGGGUAGCGAAGUGUAUGGAGACAGACACGCUGGGCCAAGUGAUGGACACUAUCGUCAAGGCAGAGGUACAUCGGCUGGUGGUGGUUGAUGUGGAGGAUCAUGUUGUCGGCAUCGUGUCUCUCUCCGAUCUUCUUACAUUCAUAGUUCUCAAACCAAUGGGGGUUGAACCCUCCAAGAAGUCUUGAUAUGCAAAUACUCAGGGGAUCUUUCUGUGAUGAUUGUCAACAAAAGAAGCUAAGCUGGACUCGGCCGACCCGCACGUUACUCGGAACUGCCAAUGGGACUGACAUGGAGGCAGCUGAUUGAGCUGUGAUAUUAAACAUAUCCUCAACAAGCCUCGUCGCCAAAUGGCAACGCCAACACUGUAUUUUGGAACAUCUAAGGAUGGGUUGGUCGAGCUGGACCGAACUGAUUAUUACUAUUAUUCUAUCUGCUGUAGACUGACAGGUACUGUUCGAUCCUUCAAGGCAGCCAGAGCUUUCACAACCCAUCUUAGUCUAGAAUCGGGAUGGGACACGUUAGCUAGUGAGCACUGGUACCAAGAAUACAAGACCAAGCUUGAAAAAUUGUUUGAGGAAAUUGUUAGUUCUUGUUGACAGUGUUUUGUGAAAGGUGUUGAAAGAAAUGACUGCUGUUUUUGAGAUGGGAAAAUGAAAGAUGUGUAAGAGUUGCAGCCUCCCAGAGGAUCGACGAGGUCCGGUUUCAGAACCUACAGUUGUCACAUUGUUUUGUAUGAGAAGCAGCUAGCAAGAUUUGUGAUCUGAAGGAAUGAAAGACCAUACCUUUUUAUUUUUGGUUUUGAUAUUAAACUUAGGACCUUUUUAUCCCUGAAAAAAAUAGAUAUCAAGUUUGCUUGGAAUUCAUGCUUGGGUUGUGAAGGUAAGUCAAGCUCGUUUUGGCUCCAAGUCGUUGUCAAGGAUCUCUUGAAUUUGAGUACUAUUUUGAUUGUGAAUUGUUACAGGACAAAUCAUGGAGCCCAUUCAUCUCUUCAUGUUUGUUCACUUUGUAUAUUGAGUAUUGUUGGGAUGGAAAUUUUAGCAGGAUUGGUUGUACUGUUGUGAUAACGUGUGUCAUACAUAACUAUGCAAGUACAUUGAUUAUAUUAAUGAAGUAAUCAAAACAUUGAUUAGAUGGUAUUGAUAUUAUGGUGACUAGUUUUCAGGGCAUGGUUCAGGGCAUUAAUGACCUGGAGAGGUCAAUGGAGAUGUAGGAGUCCGAUAUGGCGUCGGAUCAGAGACGAAUUUAGGUACUGGUAGCCUUUGAAAUAUUGUUACGAGGUGAGCUUGUUAAUGCAAUAUGUGUGCAUCUCAGAGACAAGAACUUCUGGGGGGUCAGUUGUGUGUCCGCAAGUGUCUUUCCUAGGGAAAUCAUGCUAAAGUUUUCCAAUGACGACUAGUCUGUUGUGAUUUUGUUGAUGAUUGUGUGGUCAGCUGGUGAUGUCAGCCAUUGCAAGUUCAUUUCCAUUGCGGUUAUGGUUUUCACAUGGGCAAAGAUACUUAUUAAACACCAACGUUUGAUUUCUUUUGAAACCUGUCUGAAUUGUACAUUGUGCUCAAAGUAGGGUUUUGCUGGGUAUAGAAACUUGGCCUGAACUCAUUGCUGGAUUUCAAUGGUAAUAUCACAAUCAACUUCUUUCUUUCUUUGUUUUCUUAUCUUCAUCCAAGUUGAAAUGUGUGGAUAAUUUCUUUUCCAUGUGUGUUCAAAUAGGAAAAUCUGAGUUAAAUCCCUUUAAAUCUUGAUUUUGUCCAUUUCUAAUCUUGAUAUGUAACCUGUAAAAUGUGUGAAAAGGGAGACAUUGUCCAAGACAUCUGUAAAAUCUUCAUGUAAUAUUUGAGCUAGCAGACCAAGUGGGAUUUGAAUGACUUGAAUCUAAAGUGCUAGGACAGCAAGUUAUCCCCCUGAAGGAGUGUUAAGGAUAACAUUUUCUGCUAAUGAAUCAGUAGUAAGAUAGAGACCUGUUUGAGACUGACUAGAUGUACUGUGGCUGUAGAGAGUGUACAAAGUGUUGUGUAUAUAUUGAGUAUGUCCAGAGCUAACAGAUGCUAUGUGUGUGUACAGUAAAUGCUUUAAGGUAUAUAACAUGGAUCCCGAGGCUGUUCUCGAUUGAAGUGUAUUUUGUCUCUGUGCUGUUAUGAUCAACACACUGGAACCAUUUCUCGCAUUUGUCAAGAUUGAAUGAGUUGCUAAAAAUUCCACUCAAUUACCCAGUUCUUAGACAAUAAUAUCACCACCUUUUACAAAGCAAUGAGUCGCUAAAAAUAAUUCCUCUGAAAUUACUUUGUUCUUUCUUGAUAGAAACGGGGAAGUGGGGUAGCCCAGUGGAUAGAACUUGUCAUGCUGAAGACCCGGGUUCGAUUCCCUACAUGGGUACAGUGUGUGAAGCCCAUUUUUGGUGUCCCCUGCUAUGAUAUUGCUGGAAUAGUGCCAAAAGCUCUGUAAAAAUAAAUCUCUCGCUUGAUAGAAACACAAAUCUAUAAGCCGUCCCUACCCAUCUUUCAGUCCUGGACUCAAUUAAGUGUAACAAGGCUCAUCAAAGGCCAUGAAUUUGUAAUUAGAUCUAUGGUAAAUUCAAAUUCCAAAGACGUAUUUUAAUUGGUUGAUGAUUUCAGGGUAUAUGUCAUAAUAGAACCGAGGAAUGAUACAGUUGGUAAUUGAGGAUGGUCGUGACUUGCUGGCAGCAAUGCAACCCAGACGUCACGGAAACAACGUGGAGACACAGGAGUGAGUUUGAUGACAUGUGGAGUUGCGUAUCUGCUGUGUUGGUCCAUAUAGUUGUACAGAUCAGAGGAUAGACAAUAUUAUGUUGACAGUUGCCCAGGUUGUCAAUAAAUAAAUUAAUUCUGUACAGUG
rnacentral:misc_RNA from 1 species